GUGUGCGGUCAGUCUUGGGCAGGUAGCUCGGUACGCUGUUUUUCCGACAACCUAGCUACCUGCCACAUCAUAAACAAAGGCCGAUCAGAGUCUCUAACGAUCAUGAGAAGACUGACCUGGCUGGCGGCCUGCACAUAGGGGAUACUGUUUUACUCGGGAGACUUCGCUGAACUCAAAUAUUAGUGUUUCAAACUGGUAAAUUGUAUUACAACGAUG